rnacentral:rRNA from 1 species
UACGUAGGGGGCAAGCGUUGUCCGGAAUCAUUGGGCGUAAAGCGCGUGUAGGCGGUCCGGUAAGUCCGCUGUGAAAGUCGGGGGCUUAACCCUCGGAUGCCGGUGGAUACUGUCGGGCUUGAGUACGGAAGAGGCGAGUGGAAUUCCUGGUGUAGCGGUGAAAUGCGCAGAUAUCAGGAGGAACACCAAUGGCGAAGGCAGCACUCUGGGACGUGACUGACGCUGAGACGCGAAAGCGUGGGGAGCAAACAGG